AAUAUUGUGCAAUGGGGGGAACCCUGACGCAGCAACGCCGCGUGAGUGAAGAAGGCCUUCGGGUCGUAAAACUCUGUCAUGGGGGAAGAAACAAAUGACGGAACCCAAUGAGGAAGCCCCGGCUACCUACGUGCCAGCAGCCGCGGUAAUACGUAGGGGGAGAGCGUUGUCCGGAAUUACUGGGCGUAAAGGGUGCGUAGGCGGCCGAUUAAGUCAGAUGUGACAGACCACGGCUCAACUGUUGCGGUGCAUUUGAAACUGGUUGGCUUGAGUGCAGGAGAGGAAAGUGGAAUUCCUAGUGUAGCGGUGAAAUGCGUAGAGAUUAGGAGGAACACCAGUGGCGAAGGCGACUUUCUGGACUGUAACUGACGCUGAGGCACGAAAGCGUGGGGAGCAAACAGG
rnacentral:rRNA from 1 species